rnacentral:rRNA from 1 species
CCUACGGGAGGCAGCAGUGGGGGAUAUUGCACAAUGGGGGAAACCCUGAUGCAGCGACGCCGCGUGAGUGAAGAAGUAAUUCGUUAUGUAAAGCUCUAUCAGCAGGGAAGAAAAUGACGGUACCUGAGUAAGAAGCCCCGGCUAACUACGUGCCAGCAGCCGCGGUAAGACGUAGGGGGCAAGCGUUAUCCGGAUUUACUGGGUGUAAAGGGAGCGUAGACGGCAGUGCAAGUCUGGAGUGAAAGGCGGGGGCUCAACCCCCGGACUGCUCUGGAAACUGUACGGCUGGAGUGCAGGAGAGGUAAGUGGAAGUCCUAGUGUAGCGGUGAAAUGCGUAGAUAUUAGGAGGAACACCAGUGGCGAAGGCGGCUUACUGGACUGUAACUGACGUUGAGGCUCGAAAGCGUGGGGAGCAAACAGGAUUAGAUACCCGUGUAGUC